rnacentral:rRNA from 1 species
AUUGAACGCUGGCGGCAGGCCUAACACAUGCAAGUCGAGCGGAUGAAGGGAGCUUGCUCCUGGAUUCAGCGGCGGACGGGUGAGUAAUGCCUAGGAAUCUGCCUGGUAGUGGGGGAUAACGUCCGGAAACGGGCGCUAAUACCGCAUACGUCCUGAGGGAGAAAGUGGGGGAUCUUCGGACCUCACGCUAUCAGAUGAGCCUAGGUCGGAUUAGCUAGUUGGUGGGGUAAAGGCCUACCAAGGCGACGAUCCGUAACUGGUCUGAGAGGAUGAUCAGUCACACUGGAACUGAGACACGGUCCAGACUCCUACGGAAGGCAGCAGUGGGGAAUAUUGGACAAUGAGCGAAAGCCUGAUCCAGCCAUGCCGCGUGUGUGAAGAAGGUCUUCGGAUUGUAAAGCACUUUAAGUUGGGAGGAAGGGCAGUAAGUUAAUACCUUGCUGUUUUGACGUUACCAACAGAAUAAGCACCGGCUAACUUCGUG